UCAGUCGGCUGAGAGCGCCCAAUCCCGAGUGGCCCGUCAAGGCCGCCGCUGUUCCCCUCACCCAGCUUGGGCGAGCAAGCUGGACAGCUGCAACGCAGCCUCCCUCCUUCCCUCGGGGGGCGUUCGGGGUCGCGCGAGCUCACCAAGGCUUGGCUCCCUCUCCUUCCCUCUUCCCCUCCCGCCCCUCUUCUCGCUAAACCCAGGCGCUCUCCGCCUCACUGACCCCGGAAAAGGAAAAGAACCCCCCCCCCACAUUAUUCCCCCCAAGCUCCGACCCCUCUGCGGCCCGGAAGGAGUCCGCGAGGGACUCGGCGGAGUUGCCUCUAUCUGAUGUUUGAUUAAGAAAACAUCUCCUACUCAUAGCUGUGAAAGUUGUAGUCAGGGAGGUGGAAAGGGGAGAAAAGAAAUGUCAACUAAUUGGAAAAAAAAAGAUACAGCUCAGACAUUAUCUUCAUGAAGCUUCUCCUGUUCUCCCCAUCUGCUAGUAUCCUCCUCCUUAAAUUAUUUUGUACUGGAUUACUUUUUGUGUUUCAAGCCAAGAUGACUAUCCUGACUUGAUGCCCUAAGACCAAUGAAGGCUAUAACUUUGAAGUCUAAUGUCUGACAUUUUUGAAAUAGUCUUUUUUUAUGGGGGAAAGGGCUAAUAU